CCUAGAAAUAUUUACGUUGUAUUUAUUUAGUAAGUUAAAUACAAAACUAAUCAUAAGUUUUAUUAUUUGAAUGUAAUGCUGUAGAAGUACUCUUAUCGCGCGUAUAUCAUGGUUUGUCAACGAAUAUAAAACUACGUCAUUAAUCGUUCUUUCGUAAAAAAUAAAGAAAGUUAUUAUUUUACUUGCCGUCCUACGAUAUAGAUUUUAUUAAAAAACAUGUGGCCAUUUUUACUUUCGCUAUUUGCGCUGUUUCACUUAACUUCAGCAUCAGGUAGUUUUGAUUUUGGUGAUACAUUAGCAUUAAUUUUGGGUCUUAUUAUUGGAAUUAUGGGAUUUUUUGCUUGCAUCGGAGCCUAUGCAAGACGACGAAAUCAAUUUAAAUCUUUGUGAUCAUGGGAAAUAUAUUUUAAUAAAAUUCAUGGAUAUACUAAAAUGAGAGUAAUAUGUAAGAAGCUCUUUUAAAAUGUAAAAGUAUUAAAAUAUUGCAAUAUUUUUUAAUAUAUCAUACUGUUUUAUCACAAGUAAGAGAUAAAUAUGACAAAAAGGGUCAUUACUUACACAUUUUCAAGAUUGGGAAUUUUGAAAUGUGUUUAGAACAAAGAUUUAUAAAAAUUGAUAUCAACAUAUAACAUAGAUGAAUAAUGAUAAGUAUUUCUCAUCUAAUUUGCAGAAGUCUGGAACUUUCAAAAAGAGUAAGGAAAUAUUUAAAAACACAUUUUCACACUGUGUAUUUUUCUACAUUUCGCUUUAAUAUUUUUCAUUUAUGAUAUUUUUUUACAUGUGUUCUCACAUUCCUCAUUCUUUUUGGACUCAUAACUUUUAUGUAUUUUUGGUUUAUCUCCUCACUUAAGAACAACAUGUAAAACUCAAUGUAAUGUCACUGAAAUUAAAUUUACAUAAGUUUAAACUGUAUUCAAUUGAAAAAUGUACUUGUUGCAAUUCUUAUUCUGUCAAUUAUAUGUAAUUCAAUAUUCACAUUCAUCAGUUCAGUUUUUAUAUUUCUAAGAAUUAUGCAUUCUAAACAUAAAAAUAAUGUUCACUCAUGGAUUAAUGAAUAUGUUCAUUACUUCUCCGCAGAUCUACAAUGCAUUACGCUAAUACCAUAAACUAUAAUAUAAACGGAAGUAGUUCCGCCUGUUUUUCACGGAA